GAGCAUUCCAAGGAAAACGCACGAAGCUGGAGCCCACGCAGCUGGCACCGAACUGGGCGGAGUGAGGAUGCUCUGAGAGUGAUGCCGCGCGAGGCGGGGGAGGGGAGGGCCUGGGGCGAGGGGGAGGUGAGCGCCAGGGGAGGAGAACCUCGCCCACCCCCGGCCCUUAAGGACCCCUCCGGGUAAAGUUAGCGUUCCCACGGCUGUCAGCCGACGAACCAAGAGGAAGGCACCCCUCCCUGCAUCUCCGGUGGCGGCCUGACUCCGGGUCAGCGCAGCCCGGGUUCAGAGGGGACCACUCGGAAAGAUGCGCGUCCCACGCGCCGCUCUGCGCGGCGGUGGAGGUGGACCGGCGCGAGGGCAGGACCCGGGGAAGAGCCUCCGCCGCCCCGGGGCCAGAUGUUUGGGGUCAGCCCGUUGGGCAGGCGAGCUCACACAAGCCAACGGUGAUCCAGUCCAGUCGGUGGCCGGUACCCCACCCUGUGACCGUGGAGGCGAGCCAGACACACCUCCAGGCUCCCGGCGGGCUCACCCCCCAGGCUGUCCGACUUCAGUUCGCGUCAGAACCCGGCCGGUGAUCACCCUGCUCCCACCCAAGUAAACAAGCCCCGCGCGGCAGGUCCCCCGACUUGAAAAAGUAGCCCUCCACCCUCCUCACCCGGUAACUCACAAAGCUUCUCCCUCUCCGGCUCCCGGGGGUCCCGGCACCCCCUCUCGCGUCCUCAAGGUGUCAGACUUCCCCUGCAAGAACAGGCGUCUGUGACUCGCUACUAGUGUCCACAAUGGAGACAGUCGCAAUGAAUAAAUGACGAGGCGGCGUUCCACCCACCCUCAGUCCAGCUCGCUCUUUCCAACGAAAUCAGGGACUGGAAUGCAAAAGUAGGAAGUCAAGAAACACCUGGAGGAACAGGCAAAUUUGGCCUUGGAGUACCGAAUGAAGCAGAGCAAAGGCUAAUAGAGCUUUGCCAAGAGAACACACUUGUUAUAGCAAACACUGUCUUCCAACAGCAUAACAGAAGACUCUACACAUGGACAUCACCAGAUGGCCAAUACUGAAAUCAAUAGAUAAGAAGGUGUCAAAAAUAAAUGGGCACUGAUUUUACUUUAUGAAGCUUGGAAAAUAGCACUCUUUUAGGAGAGGUAACUUGAAGAACGGAACCAUCGCUGACAGCCUUGCCCAGAGUUCCCUGGAGUCUUUCCUGGUACACAGGAGAUGUUCAGUAACCACUACUGACCGUGACAUUAGGCUGCUAGACCAGCGGCAGACUGGACACACAGUGGUGACUCUGCCUGACUUUGAAGAUGACAGAGCUAAGCUGCAGAUGCUUCCGUUCACACAAGAACCACAUUCUGAGAACUCAUAAAGCGGUUGUAUGCUUCCUAAUCAAGUCGUAUUUCAAGUAUAUCAAAGUAAUGGCCAAAGUAAAUGAACUUAGAAUUGAAUCUUUGCAAAAUGUAUCAGGGAAGUUCAAGACAUAAACAGUGUCAUAAAUAAGUCAUCUAAUGCUGGGUUACAAAAACAUUUUGACCAACUCUUUGAGGAUGGCAUUUUUCUUAGUUUCAUUCUAAAAUGAGAAAACUAAGGCUUAUGAUAAGGAACUGAAAGAUGAUAAGGAGACUUAUCAUCGACAAGUAAGAACUUGCCCAUGUCACACAGCUACUGGCUACUGGCUAAUGCGUUCUGCUGUCAUAAAUAUGAGCAUAUAUACAUAUGUAUGUAUAUACCCAUACACAUAUAGUCAUAUAUGUAUCUAUGCACAUGCAUGUCAUGUGUAUAUACACAGUACAUGUACGUACACACAUGUUAAUUAAUAUGUGCACAAACACAUGUAUACAUUUGCGUUAAGUGUUUAAUAAGUUUAAAUGUGUACAUGUGUGUUAGUGUUUCAUGUUUCUGUUUGUAUAGAUCUCAUAAAGACGAGUAUUUCAGAGCUUCAGAAAUGCCCUGGCGUUCACUAAGGGCUGACUGUGACAAAUAAGAUUCUGUUUCUUGAGUCUGUUCAGUUUUAAGCAUUCCAUGACCCAGCUUCAAGAUGAACUUUCUCGCCCUUCAUUAAUUGCAGUAUAAAUACGUGCAGAUCAGAGAAAGCGUGUCCCGGUAUCUCCUUGCACGGUGGAAGAGUAUGCCAGGCGGCUAUCUACAUGGAGCGUCUGCUCAGUUCAGCCCCUGUCAGCAGAUCCAGACAAUUCUAUUUGCUUAAUGAACUCUCUGGGCUGUCUUUAAAGCAUCUGCCAGCAAAGAUUAGAGAAUAAUCACUUGAGGAUUAUUGCUGCGUCUCAUUCAAUGAGCUCUCAGAUGCUGUCCGCUCUGUGCUAAAUCACUGACCCCUAAUUUGAGGUCUAAAUGAGUGUUUGUGGUUUCCUAAGAGAUUUUAAAAUGCAGUGAACUUUGAUUAUCUCAUUGACACCUGGAGAAUGGAUGGUAGGAAGUCAAGGCUAAAUGGGUUAAAAUAGAAGAGAGAGGGGGUAUUUCCACA
ensembl:lncRNA